rnacentral:tRNA from 1 species
GCCCCCAUAGCUCAGGCGGAUAGAGCACAGGAUUCCUAACCCUGGGGUCGCAGGUUCAAGUCCUGCUGGGGGCG